rnacentral:rRNA from 1 species
UACGUAGGGGGCAAGCGUUGUCCGGAUUUAUUGGGCGUAAAGAGCGUGUAGGCGGCCAUGUAGGUCCGUUGUGAAAACUCGAGGCUCAACCUCGAGACGCCGAUGGAAACCAUGUGGCUAGAGUCCGGAAGAGGAGAGUGGAAUUCCUGGUGUAGCGGUGAAAUGCGCAGAUAUCAGGAGGAACACCGAUGGCGAAGGCAGGUCUCUGGGUCCCUACCGACGCUGGGGUGCGAAAGCAUGGGGAGCGAACAGG